rnacentral:sRNA from 1 species
AAAAGUAAACAUGUAUUUAUUUUAGCCUAUCCAGAGUCUGUUUGUCUGUUUGUAAACGACACAAAAAUACCUGACUUGGAGCGGUGCAAUGUGACGACAGACAAAGACUUUGCCGUGAUUGUUUUCUUCUGUUCCUCGGCAUCAUCUUAUAAAUUGGAGAUUGAAGAUGGUAUCAGGAGAAUGUCCAACGAUUCUAACGUUCUGGUACACACAGUGAACACGACAACUCAAAAAGAUAUAAGACUUUACCAGAGGGACCUCGAAUCAAACGUAGUGCUUAGACAUUAUCAAUGUCGCCUCCAAGCAGUUAACCCAUUCCAGAUAUAUAGCCAUCAAAGUGACUGCUUUU